GAUGAACGCUGGCGGCAUGCCUAAUACAUGCAAGUCGAGCGAACGGACGAGGAGCUUUCUUGUCUGAUGUUAUCGGCGGACGGAUGCUUCACACGUGGAUAGCCUACCUAUAAGACUGGGAUAACUUUACGAAACCGUAUCUACUACCCGAUAAUAUUUUGAACCUCAUUGUUCACACGUUAAAUACGCUCUUUCUUUCACUUAUAGAUUAAUCCGCGCUGCAUUAGCUAGUUGUUAAGGUGACGGCUUACCAAGACAACGAGGCAUAGCCGACCUGAGAGGGUGAUUGGACACACGGGAACUGAGACACGGUCCAGACUCCUACGGGAGGAAGCAGUCGGGAAUCUUACGAAAUGGGCGAAAGCCUGACGGAGCAACGCCGCGUGAGUGCUGAAGGUCUUCGGAUCGUAAAACUAUGUAAUUAGGGAAGAACAAAAGUGUAAGUACCUGUGCACAUCAUGACGGUACCUAAUGAGAAAGCCACGGCUAACUCCGUG
rnacentral:rRNA from 1 species